UACGUAGGGGGCAAGCGUUGUCCGGAUUUAUUGGGCGUAAAGAGCUCGUAGGCGGCCAACUAAGUCGGAUGUGAAAUCCCCAGGCUUAACCUGGGAACUGCAUCCGAUACUGGAUGGCUUGAAUCCGGGAGAGGGAUGCAGAAUUCCAGGUGUAGCGGUGAAAUGCGUAGAGAUCAUGAGGAAGACCAGUGGCGAAGGCGGGUCUCUGGACAGUUCCUGACACUGAGGCACGAAGGCCAGGGGAGCAAACGGG
rnacentral:rRNA from 1 species